GCCUACCUCUGGUAAUGCGGGGCUCUGUCAGAGGCUUUCGAUACCCUCUAAAACAUUUUCAUGGGCGCCACUCGAGGGAAUUCCGUUACAAUCAUUUAGUCACCAGUUCCGGCAACUGCGUCACAAAGUAGCAAUGAACGGACCAACGCAAGGU